rnacentral:rRNA from 4 species
UCCCCUAGUAACGGCGAGUGAAGAGGGAAAAGCCCAAAUUUGUAAUCUGGCUUUUUUUUAUAAAAAUCCGAGUUGUAAUUUUGAGAACUGUUUUCUGUGCUGGACCAUGUACAAGUCUGUUGGAAAACAGCAUCAUUGAGGGUGAUAAUCCCGUACAUGAUAUGGACUACCAGUGCAAUAUGAUACAGUCUCUAAGAGUCGAGUUGUUUGGGAAUGCAGCUCAAAGUGGGUGGUAAAUUCCAUCUAAGGCUAAAUAUAGGUGAGAGACCGAUAGCAAACAAGUACCGUGAGGGAAAGAUGAAAAGAACUUUGGAAAGAGAGUUAACAGUACGUGAAAUUGUUAAAAGGGAAACAUUUGAAGUUAGACUUGUUAUUAUUGGUUCAGCUUCUUCUUUUUUUUUUAAUUAGGAGUCUAUUCCAAUGGUUGACAGACCAGCAUCAAUUUUUGAGUGUUAGAUAAGGGUCUUGAGAAUGUGGCAACUUUGGUUGUGUUAUAGCUCUUGGCUUGAUAUAAUGCUUAGGAUUGAGGAACGCAGUGAGCUUUUUCAUUAAGUGGAUUCUUUUAGGGGAAUCUUCAUCACUACGGAUGUUGGUGUAAUAGCUUUAAAUG